GCCGGAGUGGCGGAACAGGCAGACGCAAGGGACUUAAAAUCCCUUGGGCUACAAGGCCCGUCCCGGUUCGAGCCCGGGCUCCGGCACCA
rnacentral:tRNA from 1 species